rnacentral:rRNA from 1 species
UACGUAGGAGGCAAGCGUUGUCCGGAAUUACUGGGUGUAAAGCGCGUGUAGGCGGCAGGCCAAGUCUGUGGUGAAAUCGCUCGGCUCAACUGGGCGGGGUCCAUGGAAACUGGUCAGCUGGGGGACGGUAGAGGUGAGUGGAAUUCCCGGUGUAGUGGUGAAAUGCGUAGAGAUCGGGAGGAACACCCGUGGCGAAGGCGGCUCACUGGGCCGGUCCUGACGCUGAGACGCGAAGGCGUGGGGAGCGAACGGG